GAAUGAAAAAGAAAGACCCAAUUUAAAAAAUUUGGGAAAGUGAUUCAGUACACUCUCUUUCUCUCCAAAAACGAUCCAGUACUCUCUCUCUUCUCCUCUCUUUUCUCUCUCAACGCACCACCGACGGCCACCCCAAAACUCCCCCACCACCACCGACGCACCCCCUCACAAUUUGCUCUCUUCUCUCUCCUCCAUCUCACACACUGUCAUCUCGUCGCACCCCCACCGACGAGCAACCCCAAACCCACCCCUACCACCCUCGACGGGCAACCCCAAACCAGACCCUACCACCACCGACACACCACCACGAUCUCUUCUUUCUCACAGUGACUUGUUUGGCCCUUAUGAGCUUCUCAACUUCACUCUUCUUGGACCCUACUCAUUUGGAAAACAAGACUAUUACAUGGGUGUGGCACACAACACCAGCUGAGCAAGCACAGUCUCCUCCAUUGUUGGAAUUUGCUAAAGGAAGUUCAAGUGAAACAAAAAAGGAAGUUGGAAGUUCAAAUGAGACAAAAAGAAUGUGGU